rnacentral:rRNA from 1 species
UGGGGAAUAUUGGACAAUGGGGGCAACCCUGAUCCAGCCAUGCCGCGUGUGUGAAGAAGGCCUUUUGGUUGUAAAGCACUUUAAGCAGGGAGGAGAGGCUAAUGGUUAAUACCCAUUAGAUUAGACGUUACCUGCAGAAUAAGCACCGGCUAACUCUGUGCCAGCAGCCGCGGUAAUACAGAGGGUGCGAGCGUUAAUCGGAAUUACUGGGCGUAAAGCGAGUGUAGGUGGCUCAUUAAGUCACAUGUGAAAUCCCCGGGCUUAACCUGGGAACUGCAUGUGAUACUGGUGGUGCUAGAAUAUGUGAGAGGGAAGUAGAAUUCCCAGGUGUAGCGGUGAAAUGCGUAGAGAUCUGGAGGAAUACCGAUGGCGAAGGCAGCUUCCUGGCAUAAUAUUGACACUGAGAUUCGAAAGCGUGGGUAGCAAACAGGAUUAGAUACCCUGGUAGUCCACGCCGUAAAACGAUGUCUACUAGCCGUUGGGGUCCUUGAGACUUUAGUGGCGCAGUUAACGCGAUAAGUAGACCGCCUGGGGGAGUACGGCCGCAAGGUUAAAAACUCAAAGGAAUUGACGGGGUCAUAGCUGUUUCCU